GCGCCCGUAGCUCAGUUGGAUAGAGCACCGGCCUUCUAAGCCGGGGGUCGAAGGUUCGAAUCCUUCCGGGCGCGCCA
rnacentral:tRNA from 2 species